rnacentral:rRNA from 1 species
GGAAUUUUCCGCAAUGGGCGAAAGCCUGACGGAGCAAUACCGCGUGCGGGAGGAAGGCCCUUGGGUCGUAAACCGCUUUUCUUAGGGAAGAAACCUGACGGUACCUAAGGACUAAGCCUCGGCUAACUCCGUGCCAGCAGCCGCGGUAAUACGGAGGAGGCAAGCGUUAUCCGGAAUUAUUGGGCGUAAAGACUCCGUAGGUGGUUCAUCAAGUCUGCUGUUAAAGCGUGCAGCUCAACUGCAUAUAGGCAGUGGAAACUGUUGAACUAGAGUAUGGUAGGGGUAGGGGGAAUUCCCAGUGUAGCGGUGAAAUGCGUAGAGAUUGGGAAGAACACCGGUGGCGAAAGCGCCCUACUGGGCCAUAACUGACACUGAGGGACGAAAGCUAGGGUAGCG